rnacentral:rRNA from 1 species
GGUUCUAUUUUGUUGGUUUCUAGGACCGCCGUAAUGAUUAAUAGGGACAGUCGGGGGCAUCAGUAUUCAACUGUCAGAGGUGAAAUUCUUGGAUCAGUUGAAGACUAACUACUGCGAAAGCAUUUGCCAAGGAUGUUUUCAUUAAUCAGGAACGAAAGUUAGGGGAUCGAAGACGAUCAGAUACCGUCGUAGUCUUAACCAUAAACUAUGCCGACUAGGGAUCGGACGGUGUUAUUCAUGACCCGUUCGGCACCUUACGAGAAAUCAAAGUGCUUGGGCUCCAGGGGGAGUAUGGUCGCAAGGCUGAAACUUAAAGAAAUUGACGGAAGGGCACCACCAGGGGUGGAGCCUGCGGCUUAAUUUGACUCAACACGGGGAAACUCACCAGGUCCAGACACAAUAAGGAUUGACAGAUUGAGAG